CCCUUAAUGUGUUGGUCUGUUUUACAUUGCUCACUAGGUGGCAGUAAAAUGUUGUUCUUCCAAUGAAAGCAGAGGAAGUUGGGCAUUCUGCAAUUGCUUGUAGCACUUCAUACAUGCAAAACAGUGCCUACAAUCUUGGUGGAUUUUUUAUGUAUUACAUUUACAAAGCUCUAAGGAAUUGUGUCAUAACCUGAAAAGUCUGGCUCCUAAAGAGGUGGGAAUUUGCCUGCUAAUCUUUCCCUCACAGACAGCAUCAAGGAGGUCUUCUACCCACACCAUAUUUUCUGUUUCCCAGAAGCAAUGAUUUCACAUUGACUGAGGAGGAAUGAUGUCUUCAGGCAUGACAGGGUGUGCAGUUUGACCACAGAACUCAGCCUACAGCGGAGGUGACAUGAGUCACUCAAAUGUCAGCUACUACUUUCAGCUUUGUGCGUAUCUUUAAUACAAUAUAUUCUU